rnacentral:lncRNA from 1 species
CUGCUUAUAAGCCUAGUGUCUAUAGAUUUUAUUAAAUCAUUAGAGUCAUUCUUCAGGUAGAAACGGACCUUCCUUGACUUCAUAAAUUACAAGAUGUCCGGAAUUCUGAAUUUUAUCCCUCCAAGUCCCUCCACCAGAACUUUCCAGCACUUCGAUUUUCUUCUACAGCGUGAGGGAAGGGUCAGGUUUAGACAUUGUCUUGGCAAACAGAUCAGCCCUCUCCAUUUAGGAAGGAGGAGGGAAGCUGCUCCCGCGGCCACAUUUCCUGGAAGGCUGCGGGAGCGCGCUGCAGCCAACGCCGCGUUCAGCCCCGGGCGCAACUGCAGCCGUGACGGGGGCCUCCGGGGCCCCGACCGACUGAGAGCUCUUUCAGACCGCAGCGAAGUUUGCACAGACGACAGCACGUCCCGGGGCUAGGAUCUUGCCCGCCUGCGGGGCUGACCUGCACCACCCUCGGGGAAGCGCGAACUGCCGCCCCGCUGCCGGGAGUUAGGCGCCCGGGCCUGGGUCGCCCCCACAGACGGCUCGGACCAUCCCCAAACUGGGUCAUCUGCCCUCCGGCCUCAGCUCCCC